rnacentral:lncRNA from 1 species
ACGACGAGGUGGCACCGGCACGGCGCCUAUAUGAUGAACGAGGCCUCAACGUUCUGAACAGCAACACUUCCUCCAACAGGUCCGGUGCGGCCUUCUGCAGGCUGCUGUCGCUGCAGAUACUGGACCUCUCCAACAACCAGCUCACCGGGGAGCUACCGGACUGCUGGUGGGAGAUGCAGGCCUUGCAGUUCAUGGACCUUUCCAACAACUCUUUCUCAGGUCAGAUCCCUGAAGCCCCUCCGACCCACAACUGUUAUCUCGAGUCGCUCCAUCUUGCCGGCAAUGGCUUCACCGG